CCCUUAGAGUUUGAUCCUGGCUCAGGAUGAACGCUAGCUACAGGCUUAACACAUGCAAGUCGAGGGGAAACGAUAGAGAAAGCUUGCUUUUUCUAGGCGUCGACCGGCGCACGGGUGAGUAACGCGUAUCCAACCUGCCCACCACUUGGGAAUAACCUUGCGAAAGUAAGACUAAUACCCAAUGAUAUCUCUAGAAGACAUCUGAAGGAGAUUAAAGAUUUAUCGGUGAUGGAUGGGGAUGCGUCUGAUUAGCUUGUUGGCGGGGUAACGGCCCACCAAGGCGACGAUCAGUAGGGGUUCUGAGAGGAAGGUCCCCCACAUUGGAACUGAGACACGGUCCAAACUCCUACGGGAGGCAGCAGUGAGGAAUAUUGGUCAAUGGGCGAGAGCCUGAAUCAGCCAAGUAGCGUGCAGGAAGACGGCCCUAUGGGUUGUAAACUGCUUUUAUAAGGGAAUAAAGUGAGUCUCGUGAGACUUUUUGCAUGUACCUUAUGAAUAAGGACCGGCUAAUUCCGUGCCAGCAGCCGCGGUAAUACGGAAGGUCCGGGCGUUAUCCGGAUUUAUUGGGUUUAAAGGGAGCGUAGGCCGGAGAUUAAGCGUGUUGUGAAAUGUAGACGCUCAACGUCUGCACUGCAGCGCGAACUGGUUUCCUUGAGUACGCACAAAGUGGGCGGAAUUCGUGGUGUAGCGGUGAAAUGCUUAGAUAUCACGAAGAACUCCGAUUGCGAAGGCAGCUCACUGGAGCGCAACUGACGCUGAAGCUCGAAAGUGCGGGUAUCGAACAGGAUUAGAUACCCUGGUAGUCCGCACGGUAAACGAUGGAUGCCCGCUGUUGGUCUGAAUAGGUCAGCGGCCAAGCGAAAGCAUUAAGCAUCCCACCUGGGGAGUACGCCGGCAACGGUGAAAC
rnacentral:rRNA from 1 species